rnacentral:lncRNA from 1 species
AACGUCUCACGAACCACCCCUAGCAAAAUCACAACUAAUGAAACCAAAAGACCUUCCAAAGAUAUCAAGACAACCACCCUAAAAGAAAACUAACUAAUUAUACUUACCUAAUGAUUUUAAGAACACCAACACAGUCUAAAUGGCGGCACAAUAGAAGAUAGGUCGGCAAUGAAGAAACAAUAGCAAGAGACAACAACAAAAGAAUAUAGCAACAAAUGUAAUAGAAACGAAGGAAAAAUGAAACAGAAAGGAAAAAGAAGAAAAAAUGACGUUAGAGGAAGAAAAAAUGAGAAAACAAAAUGAAAGUAGUAGAAAGAGAGAAAUAUAAAAAAAAUAGGAAAAUUGCAAAAAUCCUCACUCGCCAGAAGAGUAAAUGCCUUACGAACCACCCCUAACAAAAUCACAACUAAUGAAACCAAAAGACCUCCCAAAGAUAUCAAGACAACCACCCUAAAAGAAAACUAACGAAUUAUACUUACCUGAAGAUUUUAAUAGCACCAACCCAGUCUACAUGGCGGCACAAUAGAAAAUAGGUCGGUAACGAAGAAACAGUAGCAAGAGACGAUAAUAGGGGAAUAUGGCAACAAAUGUAAAAAAACAGAAGAAAAUAAAACAGAAAGAAAGAAGAAAAAAAAUAACGUUAGAGGAACAAAAAAUGGGAAAAGGAAAUGAAAGUAGUGGAAAGAGAGGAACAUAAAAAUUUUGGGGAAAUUCUAAAAUCCUUACUCGCUAGAAGAGUAAACGCCUCACGAACCAACCUAGAAAAAUCACAACUAAUGAAACCAAAAGACCUUCCAAAGAUAUUAAGAUAACCACCUUAAAAUGAAUAUUUUAAUAACACCAACGUAGUCUAAAUGGCAACAGAACAAAAGGCAGGUCGGCAAUGAAGCAACAAUAGUAAGAGACGACAAUAGGGGAAUAUGGCAAAAAAUGUAAAAGAAACGAAAGAAAAAUAAAACAGAAAGGAAGAAGAAGAAGAAGAUAACGUUAGAGGAACAUAAAAUGGUAAAAAGAAAUGGAAGUAGUGGAAAGAGAAGAACAUAAAAAAUUUGGGGAAAUUGCUAAAAUCCUCACUCGCUAGAAGAGUAAACACCUCACGAACCACCCCUAGCAAAAUUACAACUAAUGAAAGGAAAAGACCUUUCAAAGAUAUUAAGACAACCACCCUAAAAGAGUACUAACGAAUUAUACUUACCUAAUAAUUUUAAGAACACCAACACAGUCUAAAUGGCCGCACAAUAGAAGAUAUCAAGACAACCACCCUAAAAGAAAACUAGCGAAUUAUACUUACCAGAAGAUUUUAAUAACACCAAUGCAGUCUAAAUAGCAGCACAACAGAAGAUAGGUCGGCAACGAAGAAACAGUAGCAAGAAACGACAACAGGAGAAUAUGGCAACAAAUGUAAAAGAAACGAAAGAAAACAAAACAGAAAAAAAGAAGAAGAAGAAAAUAACGUUAGAGGAACCGAAACUGGGAAAAAGAAAUGAAGAAAUGGAAUUAGUGGAAAGAGAGGAACAUAAAAAAUUUGGGAAAAUUGCUAAAAUCCUAACUCACUAGAAAAGUAAACGCCUCACGAACC